GAUUCCCUUAGUAACGGCGAGCGAAAAGGGAACUGUCCAGCGCCAAGUCUUGACAUUUAGGUGUUCAAGAGAUGCGGCGUUAAUGUAUUGGUGCAUCGUGCAUUGUUUCACGUUUCAAGUUCCUUUGACAGGGACAUCCAGAGCGGGUGCUAGGCCCAUAGAGACGAGAGACCAGUGUACGCCGGCCAAUGCAUUCUAGAGUCAGGUUGCUUGAGAGUGCAGCUUAAAGUGGGUGGUAAACUCCAUCUAAGACUAAAUAUGACAGCGAGACCGAUAGCAAACAAGUACCGUGAGGGAAAGUUGCAAAGCACUUUGAAGAGAGAGUCAAACAGUACGUGAAACCACUGGGAGGCAAACAGAUGGAACCACGAAGUGAGCGCCUCGGUCGAUUCAAUCAUCUUCAUUGGUUGUUGGCGUUGAUGAAGGGUUUCUUCGGAAGCUACAUCAAUGCUGUCAAAUCGGUGAARUUGGUGCAUUUCGUGCCGAGGAUGCAAAGCCACGUUCAAUCAGAUAGUUGGAACGGCUGUAGGACAGGAUCGGAGAAAGGUGCCCGGCAAGUGCUUGCAUUUGUCGGCGUUAUAGACUCUGAUUGGCACCGUAGCCUAACAAACUGAUUGAUAUAAGUUCUCCUUCGGGAGUUUGAACUGUAUCUGCCUAUGAUCGUUAGCAAAGGUUCAAGAGUGUUCUUUACGUAUCUUUGGGUGCGAAAAGCCAUUCUGACAAUUUUUGUUCACGGUUGUUUGCGUGAUACAGUGGAACUGUGGCGCGAGUAGGUCGGUYUCCAUCUGACCCGUCUUGAAACACGGACCAAGGAGCCUAUCAUAUACGCGAGUCGCUCGGUCUUGUUUAGGCCCGGGAGGCGAAAUGAAAGUAAAGCUAUGAGACUUCGGUCGCAAUAGCGGCCCGCCUACUUCGUUUAUUGGCGAUCAGGCGGAGCUGGAGCGUAUACGAUGGUACCCGAAAGAUGGUGAACUAUGCCUGGGCAAGACGAAGCCAGAGGAAACUCUGGUGGAGGUCUGUAGCGAUUCUGACGUGCAAAUCGAUCGUCAGACCUGGGUAUAGGGGCGAAAGACUAAUCGAACCAUCUAGUAGCUGGUUCCCUCCGAAGUUUCCCUCAGGAUAGCAGGCGUUUAUUUAGAAUCAGUCUCAUCCGGUAAAGCGAAUGAUUAGAGGUCUUGGGGCUGAAACGGCCUCAACCUAUUCUCAAACUUUGAAUGGGUGAGAUGGUUGACUUUCUUGAUUGAAGCCAACCAUUUGGAUGUAAGUGCCUAGUGGGCCAUUUUUGGUAAGCAGAACUGGCGCUGUGGGAUGAACCAAACGUCGAGAUAAGGUAUCAAAUGCGCACGCUCAUCAGACCCCAUGAAAGGUGUUGGUUGCUAUAGACAGCAGGACGGUGGCCAUGGAAGUCGGAAUCC
rnacentral:rRNA from 1 species